rnacentral:rRNA from 1 species
GAGUUUGAUCCUGGCUCAGGAUGAACGCUAGCUACAGGCUUAACACAUGCAAGUCGAGGGGAAACGACAUCGAGAGCUUGCUUUUGAUGGGCGUCGACCGGCGCACGGGUGAGUAACGCGUAUCCAACCUGCCCACCACUUGGGGAUAACCUUGCGAAAGUAAGACUAAUACCCAAUGACAUCCCACGAAUACAUCUGAAGGAGAUUAAAGAUUUAUCGGUGAUGGAUGGGGAUGCGUCUGAUUAGCUUGUUGGCGGGGUAACGGCCCACCAAGGCGACGAUCAGUAGGGGUUCUGAGAGGAAGGUCCCCCACAUUGGAACUGAGACACGGUCCAAACUCCUACGGGAGGCAGCAGUGAGGAAUAUUGGUCAAUGGACGAGAGUCUGAACCAGCCAAGUAGCGUGCAGGAUGACGGCCCUAUGGGUUGUAAACUGCUUUUAUAAGGGAAUAAAGUGAGUCCCGUGAGACUUUUUGCAUGUACCUUAUGAAUAAGGACCGGCUAAUUCCGUGCCAGCAGCCGCGGUAAUACGGAAGGUCCGGGCGUUAUCCGGAUUUAUUGGGUUUAAAGGGAGCGUAGGCCGGAGAUUAAGCGUGUUGUGAAAUGUAGACGCUCAACGUCUGCACUGCAGCGCGAACUGGUUUCCUUGAGUACGCACAACGUGGGCGGAAUUCGUGGUGUAGCGGUGAAAUGCUUAGAUAUCACGAAGAACUCCGAUUGCGAAGGCAGCUCACGGGAGCGCAACUGACGCUGAAGCUCGAAAGUGCGGGUAUCGAACAGGAUUAGAUACCCUGGUAGUCCGCACGGUAAACGAUGGAUGCCCGCUGUUGGCCUGAAUAGGUCAGCGGCCAAGCGAAAGCAUUAAGCAUCCCACCUGGGGAGUACGCCGGCAACGGUGAAACUCAAAGGA